GAUGAACGCUGGCGGCAUGCCUUACACAUGCAAGUCGAACGGCAGCACGGGGGCAACCCUGGUGGCGAGUGGCGAACGGGUGAGUACUGCAUCGGAACGUACCCAGUAGUGGGGGAUAACCAGUCGAAAGAUUGGCUAAUACCGCAUAUUCACUGAGGUGGAAAGCGGGGGAUCGCAAGACCUCGCGCUAUUGGAGCGGCCGAUGUCCGAUUAGGUAGUUGGUGGGGUAAAAGCCUACCAAGCCGACGAUCGGUAACUGGUCUGAGAGGACGACCAGUCACACUGGGACUGAGACACGGCCCAGACUCCUACGGGAGGCAGCAGUGGGGAAUUUUGGACAAUGGGGGCGACCCUGAUCCAGCAAUGCCGCGUGUGUGAAGAAGGCCUUC
rnacentral:rRNA from 1 species